rnacentral:ncRNA from 2 species
AUAAAUUCAAAUACUAUUGGUGUGCCAUUUUAUAAUGUCACUUAAAAGGGAAGUCGGUGUAAGUCCGACGCUGUCCCGCAACUGUAACGAGGAGUCCUAUAAUAUUAUUUGCCACUGUGGAAGAAUGGGAAGGCAAUUAUAGGGUGUUGAAUCGAAGCCAGGAGACCUGCCAGUUAGUAAUACCUGUA